UGACAUAUCGGUCUCAGAACUCAUCACCAGCCACUUCAUCAAGACCAAACACUGACUUUCAACUUUCAUAAAACGCUUUGACAUAGAUUAAAACUCAGUUUUCCUAAAAAGGUGUGUUUGUGUUGAGAUUGAACCUUUGAUUAAAUACUACAAAAGAAGAAUAAGAAGAGUAGCUUAGAAGAAGCUACAAAGGAAUGGAAGAAGAAGAAGAAUGAAGCAAAAUAAGAAGCUUGAAGCGCAAGAAACAAAGAA
rnacentral:lncRNA from 1 species